GACGUAGGGCGCGAGCGUUGUCCGGAUUUACUGGGCGUAAAGAGCGCGUAGGCGGUCUGUUAAGUGUAGAGUGAAAUCUCCAGGGCUCAACCCGGAAACUGCUCUGCAUACUGGCAGACUUGAGGAAUGCAGAGGUUUGUGGAAUUCCUGGUGUAGCGGUGAAAUGCGUAGAGAUCCGGAGGAAGACCGGUGGCGAAGGCGGCCUGCUGGGCAGAUACUGACACUGAGGCGCGACAGCGUGGGGAGCAAACAGG
rnacentral:rRNA from 1 species